rnacentral:lncRNA from 1 species
AUGUUGGUAUAUAUAUACAUAUAUAUGGAGUUGAGCUAGAAUAUUAUCGAUAGCAAACAGACUCUGUUGCCAUCCAUUUGUUUUCGAUGAUGGAGCCUUCAAAUCGACAAUCGACAUUAUUGAACAUGAUUUAUAUCACUUGAAGUAUUUAAAAAUUAAAUUUUAUACAUUUUUGAUCGAUAUUAUUCUCUUAUCCAUCGAGUAGACACAAAAAUGAACGACUGGAAAUGAAUAUUCUUUAAAAAAUGAUGAUUGGAGUCUUGUAAUCAAGAUCAAGAGUAUAGAUCUUAUUUUAUAUAAUUUAAAAAAUUUUCUAACAAAAAAUCAAUUGAUUUGGAUAUAUCUUUACGCCGUUAAACGAGAAAACGCUUCAUAUCGACCAUUAAAAUUACAAAUUUUGAAAUCCUUUGAUCAUUAGACAAAUGAUGUCGAAAAGAUUUGAAAUUUGAUUUUUAAACACUUCAUAUAGUAGAGAUUAUGUUCAACGAUACCGAUCGUCGAUUUAGAGGCUCUAUCAUCGAAAACAAAUAGAUGACAACGGAACCCGUUUGCUAUCGAUAGUAUUCUAACUCAACUCUAUAUAUAUAUAUAUAUAUAUAUAUAUAUAUAU